rnacentral:lncRNA from 1 species
CAAGCUUGGGAAACCUGCAAAUAAGGCCUUAUUUAGAUGCAAAUUUUUUUUUAAAGUUUGACACUGUAGUAUUUUUUUUAUUUAACAAACAUUGUCUAACCAUGGACUAACUAGGUUUAAAAUAUUCGUCUCGUGAUUUACAGAUAAACUGUAUAAUUAGUUAUUUUUUUACUCUUUAUUUAAUGCUUCAUGCAUGCGUCCAAAGAUUCGAUGUGAUGGGGAAUGUUGUAAAGUUUUAGAAUUUUAGGUUU